rnacentral:rRNA from 1 species
UACGAAGGGGGCUAGCGUUGUUCGGAAUCACUGGGCGUAAAGCGCGCGCAGGCGGCUUUCCAAGUCAGGGGUGAAAUCCCGGGGCUUAACCCCGGAACUGCCUUUGAAACUGGUAAGCUGGAGGCUCGGAGAGGAUAGUGGAAUUCCAGGUGUAGAGGUGAAAUUCGUAGAUACCUGGAGGAACACCGAUGGCGAAGGCAGCUAUCUGGACGAGUUCUGACGCUGAGGAGCGAAAGCGUGGGGAUCAAACAGG